UUUCCUUACAGUUUAUUUGCUGUAUAAUUUAUAAUUUAUUUUCAUAUUAUUUUUUAUACUGUAAUGUAUUUUUGCAGAACUGUAAUGAAGCAUCUGAACAUGAACAUUGUAUUAAACUUUUUAAAUAAAAUAUUAUUAUAAAAAAAAGAAAAAAAAAAAGAAGAAAAAAAAAAAAAGGACGUUGUGUCGUCACUUCCUGUUCGGCUUCACUCUGAUCUUCAUCUCAUCCCUCUCUGGAAACUUCUGGGUCGUCAUGGAGACUAAACGUCCUUAUUUUACACAGUUAACGGUUUGGACAGUUAUCAACCAUUUCUAUCCUUUAAAAUGAAACACUGAGCUGUUUACACCGAGAGAGAGGAACCAGAACCAGAAGAGGCCUGCUGGAAGAAGACCUGCAGCUUCAGGAGGCUCCUCCGUCGGCUCUGCGUGUCCUCGGGAUAGACGCUAACAUUGUUCCAUCUCCUGGAAUGUGAACGAGCCACGUCACGCGCAGCUGUCUCGCAGCGUGGCGUGGCCGACUACCGCUACCCCUCACUGGCCUUUUCCCAGACGAUCCACUCGCUUGUACUUUUCCACGGCUGGCGGUUUCUAUGGCAACAAAAGGGGAGGAAGACGAGGCUGGGUCUUGACAGAGCACUGUCAGGCAGACAGGCAGGCAGCAAAGGGGCGGCCGGGAUCCUCGUGAGGUAGGAGAAUACCCACCGGGGAAGAGAGAGAGAAAGGAAACGGGGAGUGAGGUUUCAACAGAAACAGCAUUAAAUGACUCAGGCUUAUUCUUA